rnacentral:ncRNA from 1 species
GCUCUGCCAACGCUACGGCUUGGCAGGCCGACCUUUCGGUUAUCGAAGGUGGUCAGCCGGUUUUGUCCUGCUUCGGCAAACACGUUUCACGGUUCGGUAGAGCGCUGAUUACUGAGAAUGGAAAGGCGCGGCCGAC